CCUACGUGUGGCAGCAGUGGGGAAUAUUGGGCAAUGGGCGCAAGCCUGACCCAGCAACGCCGCGUGAAGGAAGAAGGCUUUCGGGUUGUAAACUUCUUUUGUCAGGGAAGAGUAGAAGACGGUACCUGACGAAUAAGCCACGGCUAACUACGUGCCAGCAGCCGCGGUAAUACGUAGGUGGCAAGCGUUGUCCGGAUUUACUGGGUGUAAAGGGCGGGUAUCCGGGUUGACAAGUCAGAUGUGAAAUCCUGCGGCUUAACCGCAGAACUUCAUUUGAAACUGUUGCUCUUGAGUACUGGAGGGGCAGACGGAAUUCCUAGUGUAGCGGGGAAAAGCGUAGAUAUUAGGAGGAACACCAGUUGCGGAGGCGGUCCGCUGGACAGCAAAUGAAGGUGAGGCGCGAAAGCGUGGGGAGCAAACCGGAUUAGAUACCCCUGUAGUC
rnacentral:rRNA from 1 species